rnacentral:lncRNA from 1 species
AAUGAUGAUGGCAUUGAAGCCUCUGAUAAUGAAGAAAACAUAUUUUUAUGUGGGUUUUUUGGUACUUCUAGCUUUAAAUACACAACUUAACAUAUGUUUAAAACAGAGCAUAUGGAAAUCAGAAAAAAGCAAAUCGAAAUCCAGGCACAAAUAUUUCUUUAUAGUAAUCUCAAACCAGGCAGGUUAUUGAGACUCAGAACUAACAAAAAUACAAUCUCUUUGCCAUAAUUAUACUAACUUUCUGAACCUAAAAUGUCCACAGUUAUAGCUUAUUGUUCAGGCUCUACAACAUUCAUUCCCAAAUUUUAGUAGGAGUAUAUCAAGAGAAUCCUCUUCAUGUGGCUUGGGGUCACUUCUCACUGAACGACAUUAAAAACAACACCUUUAGAGAUCAGCCAGUGAAUAAAUUAAUUCGCAGCAAGCAGUACUACCAGUGUAACUACUUCCUUCCAUCUCUCCGCUGAGCUGCAUUAUUGCAGAGGCGGUGUCCACGAACAAGUCAGUGUUGGGCAAAGAAAAACAACAUUCAGCCGUCUUCUAGACAGGAAUGUUUAAAGCAUUUUUCUCUUGUUGCUUUUCACUUCUAUGGGAAAAAGAGAGGUUUCACCUAACAAAAUGAUCCUACAAAUUAUUUACCACCUGUCGCUGUGUUCUUAAACAAUCACUUCAACAUCCAAUGUUCCUUUUACCUUGGGAGAACCGCAGACCUAAAUCUGAUUCAAACUGAUAGCUUUGCAGCACUUUCAAGGUGGAAAAAGAUCUGCUGAAUUAUAACACUGAUUGAUAUGUGUUGACCAAAGCGACCACUAUUUUAAAUGGGAAUUUGAAUUCAAUUCAUUUAAGAAUUAAUAAUCUAUUAGUUUGCGGUAUAGCAGAAACUGACAGCCCAUUGUAAAUCAACUAUAAUAAAUUUUUUAAAAGAAUUAAUCAUCUAUUUAUGAUUCAUAUUUUCUUGCACAAGUUUUUGAGAGGAUUUAGUUAACCAGAAUAUUUGCUGCCAAAACAUAGCAAUCUUAAUUAUGUCUACUGAAAAAAAGGUUUAUUAAACCAUGUUAUCAAUGACAUAGGGAUACGUCUAACUUGACGUCAGGAGGUUGUAGUUCUAACCUUACCGUUUGACAAGUCGUAUGUCAACUUCCAUCAAGGGGCUGUUUUAGUUUAUGUGGGUUCAAACAGGAGGGAGACUGUUGCCAUACUGAAGCAAAUAGAGAGAUCUGAUUUGGGGCUUAGAAAUAAAAAUGAGGAUUUAUAAAAAUCUGUAAAGACUUGCAUGUGAAAAUAACUAUUUUCUUUUAAAAAUAUAUAAAUUUCAUCAAAUGUGGAGACAGCCAGACAGAACAUGUCCGUCGAUAUUUUUAAAUGAACUAACAAGUCCAGCUGUGUUUCCUACACGGAAAGCUGCUAUGAGCUUCCCAUAGCCUAUUACCUACAUUUUUUUAUCUUUGCAUUCCUAUGCCAAGCAAAAUGCCUCCGUUAGAAGCAGCUACCACCUGUUUACAAAGGGAAAAAAUGAGUGGAAAAGUAAAAGCAAAAAUCCCAACCUGUCCUUAUCCCACUUCACCCCUCUUAUCACACAAGCAAAGAGGACCUAGCAAGUGUUGACGAAGAGGUGCAGGAAGGAGGAGCCUCGCGCGUUUCUGCUGAGGGGUAUGUGAAACAGCGCACUCUGGAAGAGGGAACGGUAGUUCCUUAAAAAUUACAGAAUUAUCAUAUGAUUCAGCAAUUCCACAUCUGAGGAUACACCCCGAAGAACUGAUGGCAGAGAGUCAAACAGAUAUUUGUACACCUGUGCUGACAGCCGCACGAUUCCCAACAGUCGAAAGGUGGAAACAACCCAGACGACCACCCACACGUGAAAGAACAAAGGAAUGCGGUACAUACACCUAGGCUAUCAGUCAGGCUCGAAUCGAAGGACACUCACUCAUGCUGCCACAUGCGCGAGCUGCAAAAAUGCUGUGCUACGUGAACUAAACUGACAAAAAGGACAGUGUUGCAUGAUUCCACUUUUACGUGGUACGCAGCACAGUGAAAUUUAUAGAGACAGAAAAACAAAUAUCGGCCUGGAGUGAAAGAUCUGUCAUGGGCACACCUGUGUCUUCGGUCACUGCUGCGGUGUGAGUUUGAUGCCUGGACCAAUCCCUGGCGCAGGAACGUCCGCAUGUUGCGGAUGCGGCUCAGAAAUAAGGAAGUGUUACUGGAUGGGAAUAUAGGUAAAAUGCUCAACUCUACGAAACUUAGGUCCAGGGGGAAUUCGGCAAUUAAAUACUUUAUAAACCAAAUCUGAAAAACAUUAUGAAAAGGAUUCUACAAUUUUCAAAAGGAACUUACAUGAAAGAGACCUUACCUAUUUGAGACCGUAGACCGUGAACUCAGAUCUCCAGUGCUUGCACACAACAAGCUAACAUGUGAGGAGAGGCACGGAUUAACCACAUUAAAUCCUGACACUUCACAUACCUUCCAUCCAGGGGGGACUCUUUUCAAUAACAUGCUCGUAUUUCUCCGCUCCUAAACUGAGUUGUCUGCACAUGUUCUCAUAUCCCAGACAGAGCUUUUAAUGAUGAUUAUCGAUUACUAUACCAGGAUGUAGUCCAGCCACGUCCUUAGGGCAUUCUGGGGAAUGGGAAGCUGCUUCUUCCCACGUUAAACGCGUCCAGACGGCAGUGUUUGUCUCUCAGUUCUCUCGUUCUCUUCCUUGCAACUCUUACCUCUCACUACUGUGACGUAUCCAUUUUUUUUCAGCACCCCACCACCGCCUCAAUUCUAUGGUACAGCUCUGAGUUUGCCACGGGCAUGAAAAGCAAGUAAUCAAAUCCACUAAAACUAAGUAUCAGAUAAAUAAUAAUAGUGUAAAUGAACUAGGACUCUUGUUACCUAUUUUUACUCAUUGGAAGAUUAUUUACCUAUUUCCAUUACAGCUCUAGAGUAUGUUUUCGCUAUGAAGGUUGCUGGUCUAUAAUGUAUAUCCUUUGAAAUAAAAUAAUCUCACAAAGAUUCUGCAGAAUAAAUUCAGUACACUGAUUAUUUAUUCAACAUAGAGCCACACUUUUCCUACAUGUGACUGUAACAUUCUUAAGUCUUGAUUUCAACACAUUUACCAAAAUAGAGUCCAAUUCAAGCCGUCUACCAAAGCUAAUCAACAAAACCAAACUGACAUUAUGUAUAUUCACUAUCACAGGAGUGCACACAUAUUCAAGUUGUACAGAAUUUUUCUCGACUUGAAAAUUUUGCAAAUGUGCUUUGGUGUACUUCCUUAUUUAAAUGCUUGUUUUUAACUUCUUUGGCAUAUCAUGAGCUAGAAGUCAAUAGCUAUUGUAUAUGUACACAUAUAUAUAAAGAUGCAUAUAUACACACACUUUUAAGAAAAAGCAAAUGAACAGAGAUCUCUCUCAUUCUCUCUCUCUCUCUUUCUCCCUCUCUCUCUCUCCACUUUCAGAUAAAUGCCAGUCAUUUGGCCAGGGCUGUACUCACAGAAGGUACAGCAGGCACAGAUGGUACUAAUGCAUAAAUGUAAUCUAGCAAAAGAAUGCCAACGCCAACCCAGAAAAGGUUCCAAAUAACUGCAGUGCACUUGCAGGAAGUCUGUGAUUGGCAAGGUUAAAGCUGCAACUGUGAGAGCUCACUAUUUGUUCCCAGAUCAACAAUCGAUAUUCUUGAGCAAAUGAGCAUGUUUAAUUUGUUUUAUUUACCAUAAGUGUAUUAAUUCAGACGGUGUUUAGAUAAGUGAUACAUCCUUAGAAAUAACACUCAAUGAAGAUAACCUAAUUGCUGCAACUGUCUGAACACACUCACAAAUUCAUGCGCAUCUGAGUAUCUGCAGACUCUUUCCCACCCAUUCUCUAUUUCCUUACCUCGUUUUGUUUCCUUUUUGCUUGGUAAAAUGGUAUGUUAUCAUAACACUAUGCAACAACAUAAAAAUAAUAAUGACACAACUUUAAAGCAGGAUGGACAUUAGUAUUUACACAGCAUGACUGCAACUAUAUUUUAAAAACGCGUUCAGAGAAUUUCUCAGGUAAUACUUUCUUCCAUGGUUUCAGUUUGUGUGAUAUGCAUAACAAGAGACUUUCUUCUUUGUUCUGAAAUUUCUGCAAUGUUUCUUUAAUAAGUAUGUAUGUAUUUGUUUUGUAAUAACAAAAAGUUAAAAGAAAACGUACCACCUUCGUUAUCUACAUAUUUUUAUCCCAUCUUAUUGUGCACCUGCACACAACAAAAAUCAAUUCCUGGAAAAAGCUCGAUCGCCGUUACGGUUCUGAGUUUUCUCUCAGGUGUAAAGUGUGGUACGAGGAAAGCAUGUGCGAAAAAACGGAACAGAAGUUCUGGGACAAGGGCACGGUGAAUGGCCGUCCGAGCUUCUGAACGAGAAGAAAGCUGUGGCCCAACACGCAGGCGCUUUCUUCCGUCUUCAGAAACCGAGUCCACCGGGCGAGGGUCCCUUGAUGGGGAGCAAUGUCUCUUUUCCAGUUUACUGUCCUCAUUCACAAAGUGGGGACAACACCAGCGCGACCUCCAGGACUCGGCGGGAGAAGGACGCGCAGGCCCAGGAGGUUCGACGCCUGGCGCGGGACGAAGGCACACACAUGCCGAGGGUCGUGCGUUCCCACCCGUCCCGCUGCCCGACAGGCGAACCGACGAGAGCCUGGGGCCCAGGGCUGUGGCAAAAUAAAACUGUGAAGCAGAUUUGGGGGCAAGAAUAAAAGCUUUCAUCGGGCCAGGGCCAAAGCAAAGACGGAUCACGGAGGAGACCCCCGUCGUCUCCGCGAGGCCUCGGCUGAGCGCCGAGGACGGCCUCGCGCCACCCCACCGGGACGGCACCUCGGCGGGGCUGGCCACCGCUGGGGACAGGCCGGCGUGCGACGUGUGCUCCUAAAGCUGAAGCACGGGC